rnacentral:lncRNA from 1 species
GAAUCCACUUCACAUCAACGUGGUAUACGUAGACAUCUCCAAUUUGAGGCUGCAUUGGCUGGCAAGUGUAUUACUACUUCUAAGAGCCAUAGUUCCCAUAAUGUAACCCAAGAAAGUGAUAAUUCAACAUUACCUGCUAGCUUUAGAGACUGGGAGAGUCUGAUUCCGUCUGAUAUUGAAUCAAGAGAGGUCUCCAGUGGUAGGGAAGCAACCAGCAGUUCCCAGAAUGUAGCUUCCAGGCUCUCUUUCUGCCAAUCUGAAUUUGUUAGAUCCAGUCAAAAUGAAGAAAGCCUUCCCUUGAUUGGUCCACUUCCGCCUGGUUUUAGCUUGCAUCUAAGCAGCAUGGCAGAAUUAAUGCCCAUAAGCUCAGAUCUUAUGCCAAGUAAGUUUUUGUCCACUUACAUGAGUUCACAACAGGAUAUGCUUAUUCCUGGGGGGGAGCAAUCGCUUAGAAAAGGACUCAAAUAGUUGCUUAAUUUCUUCUGCAGCUGGGAGAAUUCAUGACUAUUUGAAGAAUGACCAGCUAGAUGAUCAAGCUGUUGUGGGAGCCAGCUUGGUCAUUUCUCAAUAUACUGACAGUAUGAAACAAAUCAGUGACUCUCUGCAAAUGACACUUUCUGAGCAGCAGGCAGCCCCAUGUGAGGGCAUGAUGCUUACCUCAGAAAUUGAGGAGUUAAACCAAGGUAGCCCCAAGAAGAAAAGGCAAGUCCAUGUUUUUAAAGUUUUUCAUUCCGGCCAUUUUGAUAAUUUUUUGUUUAUUCUGGUUGUCUAACUUGAGAAUCUAUUAUGAAUCCAGGAAGAAGGCAUCAAAUAGCAGCGAGAGUGAAGACUGCAAACGUUGCAAUUGUAAGAAGUCUAAAUGCUUGAAACUGUAAGUAUGCUGGAAGCAUGUAUAGAGCCUCUUCUUAAUUCCUUUAUACUUGUUUCUUUGUCUGCUGUACGGCCAAGGCGGAUGUACGGUACAGCAGAGCAUCUCCAAAAGACUUUUUAAAUAAAAUUAUACUUCUUAUUUGAAGAGUCAUAUCAAUAUUAAACACUCCAAAAGACACGUUAAUUUAGAUUCUUCAAAUAAGAUUUGUUUCUCACUCUUCAAUAUUGGUGGUGCAAUUCACACACAUACACUAACUAUUGCUGGUCUGGUAUAAAAUCUUAAAUUUUAUGAUAUUUUAAAAAAAUUAUUAAACCAUGUAGUUUAAUAGUUUUAGCAGUUAUUACAUUAUUAAAUUAUAUGAUUUAAAAAUUUUUUCGGACUUCAACAAAUCUGAGAUCUUAACUGCUGUACGGCCAAGGCGGAUGUACGGUACAGCAGCCUGAAUCUCCAUAGUUGUAUAAUCUUUUCCCAGUCCAUUAUCUUCAUCUGCCACAAACAACAAAAUGCCAUCUAUAUUUUCCAUACCAAUACCAAAUGUGCACGACAUUCUUGUUCCUUUGCUCUUGAGACGCUUGUUUUUCUUAAUGCUGUCACUUUCUACACAGCCAUUGGCCUACGUUUUCUCAGAUUUUUAUCAAGGGUGAAUUCAUUGGAGGUUCAGAUAUUAUUCAUUCUAUGUUGACCUUAAUCUUUCGCUCAUAUCAUCUCUUAGCCCAAUUUCUAUGUCAGAAACUUACAAUGAGGCAUGGUGCAAACUGCUGUCUUCUUUAUUUUUACGUUCUUACUGUUUUUUAGUCUUGGUCUCGUAUCAUCCAUAGAAGGAUUAUUGAAUAUGACAGUAAAAUCGCAAGAAGCUGAUUUAUUUUAUUUUAUCAGUGAAGAUUAUCAUUUUUCACGUAUUGCUUUCGAACAAUGAAAGUGCUGCCGGUUUAUUUUUGUUAUUCACUUUGCGUUAGGUAACUUUUCUAAUCAAAUGUAGGAAUCCACUUCACAUCAACGUGGUAUACGUAGACAUCUCCAAUUUGAGGCUGCAUUGGCUGGCAAGUGUAUUACUACUUCUAAGAGCCAUAGUUCCCAUAAUGUAACCCAAGAAAGUGAUAAUUCAACAUUACCUGCUAGCUUUAGAGACUGGGAGAGUCUGAUUCCGUCUGAUAUUGAAUCAAGAGAGGUCUCCAGUGGUAGGGAAGCAACCAGCAGUUCCCAGAAUGUAGCUUCCAGGCUCUCUUUCUGCCAAUCUGAAUUUGUUAGAUCCAGUCAAAAUGAAGAAAGCCUUCCCUUGAUUGGUCCACUUCCGCCUGGUUUUAGCUUGCAUCUAAGCAGCAUGGCAGAAUUAAUGCCCAUAAGCUCAGAUCUUAUGCCAAGUAAGUUUUUGUCCACUUACAUGAGUUCACAACAGGAUAUGC